rnacentral:rRNA from 1 species
CAGUCGCCACGGGAACACGUAGGUGGCGAGCGUUGUCCGGAAUCAUUGGGCGUAAAGGGAGCGCAGGCGGGCAUGUAAGUCUUUCUUAAAAGUUCGGGGCUCAACCCCGUGAUGGGAAAGAAACUAUAUGUCUUGAGUACAGGAGGGGAAAGCGGAAUUCCCAGUGUAGCGGUGAAAUGCGUAGAUAUUGGGAGGAACACCAGAGGCGAAGGCGGCUUUCUGGACUGCAACUGACGCUGAGGCUCGAAAGCCAGGGGAGCGAACGGGAUUAGAUACCCCAGUAGUCCCUGUCUCUUAUACA